AUGUGGAGGACUGUUGGAUGCGUGUUGGGCACGGAUCGCUGUCCGAAUAACAUUUGACAAUAUUUUUCCUAGUGCUAUAGCUUCCUUCCAGAGGGAGAGAAGUUCUAUACUUUUGGCUUAGCUGCCCUCUGCUGGGCUAUGUGGAAUUGCCGCAACAGAACCACGUUUGAAUUCAAGAAGUUGGGAUCCCCUUUUAACGUGAUUUAUGUUGCUUGUGGUUAUAUCACAUGUUGGGCAGGUCUGAUGAGGGGCGAAGAUCGUGAAGCAAUGGAGCGUGGAGCUAAGAUGCCGAGGAUCAAUGCCUCGAACAUGAUGCGUAUCUGCGCGGCGCCAGGGGGGACAACUGAAGGUGUGGAUGGCAGAAGUUAG
rnacentral:rRNA from 1 species